rnacentral:rRNA from 1 species
UACGGAGGGUGCGAGCGUUGUCCGGAAUCACUGGGCGUAAAGGGCGCGUAGGCGGCGCGGGCAGUCAACGGUGAAAGCUUGGGGCUCAACCCCGAGUCGGCCGUCGAUACUCCCGUGCUGGAGCACUGUAGAGGCAGGUGGAAUUCCGGGUGUAGCGGUGGAAUGCGUAGAGAUCCGGAAGAACACCGGUGGCGAAGGCGGCCUGCUGGGCAGUAGCUGACGCUGAUGCGCGACAGCGUGGAGAGCAAACAGG